rnacentral:rRNA from 1 species
CCUACGGGAGGCAGCAGUGGGGGAUAUUCGACAAUGGGGGGAACCCUGAUCCAGCGACGCCGCGUGAGUGAAGAAGUAUUUCGGUUUGUAAAGCUCUGUCAGCAGGGAAGAAAGAAAUGACGGUACCUGAGCAAGAAGCCCCGGCUAACUACGUGCCAGCAGCCGCGGUAAUACGGAGGGAGCAAGCGUUAUCCGGCAUUACUGGGUGGAAAGGGAGCGUAGUCGGUUAAGUAAGUCUGGAGUGAAAGGCCGGGGCCCAAACCCGAGACUGCUCUGGAAACUAUUGAACUUGAGUGCAGGAGAGGUAAGCGGAAUUCCUAGUGUAGCGGUGAAAUGCGUAGAUAUUAGGAGGAACACCAGUGGCGAAGGCGGCUUACUGGACUGUAACUGACGUUGAGGCUCGAAAGCGUGGGGAGCAAACAGGAUUAGAUACCCGAGUAGUC